GAUGAAGAACGCAGCGAAAUGCGAUAAGUAGUGUGAAUUGCAGAAUUCCGUGAAUCAUCGAAUCUUUGAACGCACAUUGCGCCCCUCGGCACUCCGGGGGGCAUGCCUGUCCGAGCGUCAUUGCACCCCUCGAGCCCCCCGUGGCUUGGUCGUGAGCCGCGCCCGCGCCAGCCCCGUCCCCCCCCGUGCAGCGGGGGGCAGGGGCGCCGGGCGGGCUCGAAACGCAGUGGCGGCCCCCGGGCGACUUCCAGCGCGAUGACAUGUUUCGCUGCCGAAGCCUUCGCCCCGGGCGCCCGCCAGGCAACCCCCGUGCUUCUUACGCGGUUGACCUCGGAUCAGGCAGGGAUACCCGCUGAACUUAAGCAUAUCAAUAAGCGGAGGA
rnacentral:misc_RNA from 1 species